rnacentral:rRNA from 1 species
GAUGAACGCUAGCGGCAGGCCUAAUACAUGCAAGUCGAACGGUAAGUAGGAUAGCAAUAUUCUACCAAGAGUGACGCACGGGUGCGUAACACGUAUGCUACCUACCCUUUACAGGCGGAUAGCUCGGGGAAACUCGAAUUAACCCGCCAUAAUAUAAAUGAAUGGCAUCAUUUGUUUAUUAAAUCUGCGGAGGUAAAGGA